rnacentral:lncRNA from 1 species
UUUCUCCUCUCUCUCUCUCUCUCUCUCUCUCUCUCUCUCUCUAUAUUUCUAGUAACAAUUUCAUUGUCUCAUUUGAAGAAGCAGAUCCAUUGUCAUCUAGUUUCACGUUUCAUUUAUUUUUUCAGCUCCCUUUCUUCGUAAAUUUUGAUCUUGGCGUUCAUCAUAGAUUUGCAUUUUUGUGAAUUUACGUUUGUGUUUCGGAAUCUUUGAGCUUACUUUCUCGCUUAACGCCGGUUCCUUUGAUCUAAUUUGUUGCUCGAAUCUCUUGCGAGCCUUCAUUUUGAGGUAAUUUUCCAUAUUUAAAAUGUUUCUGUACAUUUUUCUUUGGAACAAAAUGUGUUUCUUCUGCAAUUUGCUUUGUAUUUGUUUGGUUGCUGAGAAACCUUCAAGGAAAAUGUAGGCGCAAAGGAAUCUGAUAACUUAUUAGUCAUUUGAAACCAAUUUCAAACUCUUAACGGUCAUUGGAUUCAAAGUUACUGGUUCUUAACCGAUAUUUCGCAAAAUCAAGCGCAGUGUCAUGGUUUAUAGUUAUGUCGUUGGAUUUAUUGCACUUCUUUUUGUUAUCGUUUUGCAGCGUUUACUUUCCUCAUCUGAUUUCCUUUUUAUUUCGUUAUCUUAGAUACUUGUUAGACGAAGAGUGGAGUUUGAUUGGAGGAAGAUGUGCAUUUGGCUUUCAGGUGAGACAUGAUUCUUCCUUUUCUUUAAGUUUCUUUCCUACUUGCUUUUGUUUGUUUUGUAUAGUGCUUAGUACAACUUACUUUAAAGCUUGUUGGGACUUCUUUGAAAAUUUUUAUUGAAUGCACUCAUUGUUAUUCCACAGGGAUGUGAAUGUAUGUCAGAUUGAACACGUUUUUGCCACAGUAUUUAACUUUUCAUUGGCUGAUAUUGCAUCAGAUUUGUACCACUAUCAUAUUAUAGUGCUUUAUUGCUGGAAAAUCAUCAUAGUUGUUCCUUCUGAGUUUCAUAAAUUAAUUCAUGGUUCAUUCAACAAGCAUAUCACUAAAAAUCACAUAAAAUAUUGUGAUGAACAUUAUGCUUGUCUGGAUAUAAUUAAUUUGCGAACAAUUAAAUAAGUCGUUUCUUAGGGAAGUUAUUAACUUUCAGCAUUUGUGGUUCAUCAUUAAGUAUUUAAUUCAAAAUUACCCGUGUUUCCUUAUUUUUAAAAAAUAGAAGAAAAGUGUGGAAUAAAUUUUUUGUGGUGCUUCUAUAGUGGGCAUCGUACAUUAUUUGUGCUUAAUUUUGAAUAUAGAAAUUUUAUUUACUUUAGUAUUUACUAACAUAUAUGUAAAGUAAUAAUCUAGCGGGCAACUUAUAGUGAGUGACAUUGCCACAUGGCUCUGUCCGGUUAAUCCACAUCUUCAGCACUCUUAAAGAGUUACGAAAUUGUACCACGUAUCUAGGUACUCACUAUGUGUAGGCGCUAAAUGCUCAUCAGAUCAUAUUCAUGCCCAGAUAUGUGUGUGUGUGUGUGUGUAUAUAGAUGGUGUGUGUGUAUCAUUUUCAUGCGCUAAAUGCUCACACACACACAUAUAUAUAUGUAUAUAUAGAUGGUGAGUUGUUAGAGAAUAGAACAAGUUGUAAUGAAUAAGACAAUGAUGCUUCUUCUUGUUGUUAAGUCUAUAUGUAUGCGUUCUUUAUGCAACUUCUAGGGCGUAUUAUCCAAAAUAUUAUUUUUCAAAUAGAACUAGAUCAAUCGUGCAAGCUACCUUGGGUUUAUAAUUACAAAAUUUUCAAACAAUGUGUAGUAGAAAGCAAAUGAAAGGUUCGAUUAGGCUUGGUAUUUGUGCCAUGAUGGAAAUGCUAUUAUGAUGAAAUAGUACUUUUCAUAAUGGUUUACCAUGCAUGUUGGAAUGAAACAAUAUAGAUAAGAGAUUAUGUAACAAUUUUUUGGUGAUCUAAAAAGACAUUUUGGUUUAGACUUUAGAUCAAUUUGUUGCAAUGAGUUUUGGACGUUAUGCAUGGUUGGCUUAGAGUUUGGCCAAAAGAUGAUAUUUUGGUGAGAGAGAAGGAAAAAUAAAAUAUAAAAACCCCUCUCCUAAUAACCUUUUGUAGAGAUGCAUGAUUUGGGAAUGUGAUCAAGUUUAAAAUUGAAGCUUUUAUUUGUGAAAUUUGAGAGCAUCAUUUAUGAAAAUUGAUUUGACAUUUUCAUAUACAACUGCUUCUUGGAACAUUGAAAAACAUUGUAGGAGAAGGUGUCGAUGGUAAUCCUUGUUAGGUUUCUCAGAUAUAAUACGGCGUUAGAGUGAACUCCUAACCUGAUGGUGUAGAAUAUUGAGCCUCAAAAGAAUAUAAGGCUUGAUGGGAAGAUUUUCACAUCCUUUAUCACUAUUGUACUAAAGAUGAGCACGGACAAAUAUAUAUGUUUUGGAUGAAAAAGGCUUGUUUGAAGUAUAAGGUAAAACAUGCAUGCCUGGAGAAAAAAGGAAGAAUAUUUUCUCGGUUGAAGUUUUGUCUUUACACAAUUGUAUUUUCAUUUAUGGUGACAUAUUUUACGGAUAAAAGCAUUUGAAAUUGAAAUGAUAGUUGUUCUCUUUCUUAAUCCACAUGUUUGGGUUAAUGCAGUAUUCAUAUACUUACCCUCUUACAGAGUUGAAAUUGAAAUUGAGAUGAUAGUCACAUUUUUAUAUUUGCGCUUAACAGCAAGGCAAUCUUUGGAGUAUUGGAGCAUGGGUGCAAGUUCAUGCACAAGAUGAACAUUACUAGUGCGAACUCCUAGGCAUGUAUAAAAGACUAAGGUUGACUUGAAUAGGCUCAAGGCCUUUUAGGUGCAUUGGCUUCGUUCUUAGUCAAAGCUUUCUUUGCCUGAUGCUUGUUGGGUUGAAGAGCUUGAAAUUAAAAUUGCAAAGAAAAGUCUAUUGAAAGUUGAUAAUAUCAUGCAUGGUAGGAGCCGGUCAUUAAAUGAGUCGGGUUUUCAGAAUUUUGUUUACUCAAUUGAAAUUUUCGUAUCAAUUGAGAAGCCAAGUUGAUUAUAGUGUCAUAUCCACGUCUAGUCUUGAAUGUUUAUGAUUUAAUAGAGUAUGGUAAAACAAAAUAAUUUAUGUUGGAAGCAUUGAGAGUGAGGAGUUUCAAAUUCUAAGAAGGAAAUACAUAGAAAUGAAUUUCAUUUUUAGUAAAUCUAUUCACUAUCAAUAAUCGUCCCAUAUUAGAUGUGGGCGUUAGAGGUAGAGCUGGCAAAAUUUGACAAUACCCAAUUACCUGACACGAAUACGACACGAAUAAAUGGGUAUGGGUCGUCAAAUUUGAUACGAUUAUUAAAUGGGUCGGUUCCGACUCAACACAAUUUUUUUCGGUGUCGGGUUAGGGUUAAAAUUCUUGACCCAUGUACCCAAACAAUGACAAUUAUAUUUUCUUUUUUAAAUUAGUUUCUAGGUUCUUGUCAUUAAAAAUCAAAUAUUGGACAUGAUUCUCUCUUUUUAUUUUUAUUUUUGGAAGGGUAGAUAUAUACACAGUGUUUUAUUUUUAAAAUUUUAUAUAGAUUUAGAACUUUAAUAGUGUAAAUAUACAAAAUAUUGGUACACAUGUAUACUUUAUGAUAUUGAUUUAUAGUAUUAUUUACAUAUAUAUAAUUAAAAACUAUAAUAGUGUAAAUGUGUAAUAUUUUGGGGUGUGUGUAUAUGUUGGGGGGUGUAUGUAUAACAUUUAUUAAAAAUAUAGCUAUUAAACGAGUUGUUAGGUAACACGCUUAUUUUUUUGUGUCAGGUUUGGGUCUCAAUAUUUUGACACGAUUAUUAAAUGGGUCGGGUUUAGAUCAAUCUGAAUUUGACACGACACGAACCCGACCUGACGACCUACUUUGCCAACUCUAGUUAGAGGAUUGAGAGGUUUAAAAAUGUCACUUUAUUAACUGACAUGGAAUGUGUAAAGAUAAGGUUGUUGAUGGAUGUUUACUUGUGAUAGUUUGGGUAUUGUUGCCAUGUUAGUGCUUGGAACAAUGUAAGAAAUAAGUGAAGUGAUGUCAUGAAGGAUAUAAUACUUUAGUGGGAGAC